AACCACAGACUGGGAGGCGCUACAGACUUACUAUACUAUUUACUAACGUACAGCGUUCAAGAAUAUGUGACUUUUUAGAGCAGGAGAUGUAUAAAUGGGCUGGAUAAACUAGUUUAGAGCAGGAGAUGUAUAAAUGGGCUGGAUAAACUAAUUUAGAGCAGGAGA